rnacentral:rRNA from 1 species
UACGAAGGGGGCUAGCGUUGCUCGGAAUCACUGGGCGUAAAGGGUGCGUAGGCGGGUCUUUAAGUCAGGGGUGAAAUCCUGGAGCUCAACUCCAGAACUGCCUUUGAUACUGAGGAUCUUGAGUCCGGGAGAGGUGAGUGGAACUGCGAGUGUAGAGGUGAAAUUCGUAGAUAUCUGUAGGAACACCCGUGGCGAAGGCGGCUCGCUGGACCGCAACUGACGCUGAGGAACGAAAGCUAGGGGAGCAAACAGG